rnacentral:lncRNA from 1 species
AGCUUGAACAUAUCGCACACUUCAGUUGGACUCUAAUGAUGGAUAAAAAGUGUACACUAUGUUUUCUGUUUCUCUUGCUUCUUAAUAUGGCUCUCAUCGCAGCAGAGUCGGAAGAAGGCGCGAACCAAACAGACUUGGGAGUCACUAGGAACAAGAUCAUGACGGCUCAGUAUGAAUGUUACCAAAAGAUCAUGCAGGAUCCCAUUCAACAAGGAGAAGGCCUUUACUGCAACAGAACCUGGGACGGAUGGCUAUGCUGGAAUGACGUUGCAGCAGGAACCGAGUCAAUGCAGUACUGCCCUGAUUACUUUCAAGAUUUUGAUCCUUCAGAGAAGGUUACAAAGAUCUGUGACCAAGAUGGAAACUGGUUCAGACAUCCAGAUAGUAACAGGACAUGGACAAACUACACCUUGUGUAACAACAGCACGCAUGAGAAAGUGAAGACAGCACUGAAUUUGUUCUACCUAACUAUAAUUGGACAUGGAUUAUCUAUUGCCUCUCUGAUCAUCUCACUCAUCAUAUUUUUUUAUUUCAAGAGCCUAAGUUGCCAACGGAUUACAUUGCAUAAAAACCUGUUCUUUUCAUUUGUUUGUAAUUCGAUUGUGACAAUCAUUCACCUCACGGCAGUGGCCAAUAACCAGGCCUUAGUGGCGAGAUUAGUCAGUAUUAGUUUUGUAAUAAUAUUUUUGAAGCUAAAUUUCUCUAAAGCUGAAGUGCCAAUUAAAAUAUUUCUACUUUGCUUGUAGGAAAAAAAACCUGAAAUUUUUGAAAGAAAACUUCUCUGGUGCCUAAAAACUAACUUGGGGGAAUUUUUAGCAUUUAAAAGUUGGAUUUGUCAUUUUUAGAAGUGACUUAUGUAUGUUUUUGUUAAUAAGUCGUCCAUCCUGGAGUUUAGUGUUUGUUCAAAUAUAACAAACUAUGUAGAGUUUACUAGUACUCACAGUGUUACACUUACUGUUUAGAUAUUUUAAUGUGAAUCUAUUUUAAUUUUCUUUGUGUUUUAAUUUGCUCAUAGAAACAUCUGUAAAUGUUCUGGUCACUUAAAAGAACUCAUGUUGUAUCGACUUAAAAUCUUUAUUUAGGUUUUAUGAGAAUAUUAAAAUUGUAAGUUAACAUUCACUUUCACUCAUCUUCCCUGGAGUACAGAGUGAUUGAAUUUCUCACAAAAUUCUUGCAGCAAUUAAAGAAAUACUUUGCAAAAUAAA